AUUGAACGCUGGCGGCAGGCCUAACACAUGCAAGUCGAACGAGUGGCGGACGGGUGAGUAAGGUAUGGGAAACUGCCUGAUGGAGGGGGAAAACGACUGGAAACGGUAGCUAAUACCGCAUACAAUCAGAAGUGGCCAGAUGGGAUUAGCUUGUUGGUGGGGUAACGGCUCACCCAGGCGACGAUCCCGAGCUGGUACGAGGGGAUGACCAGCCACAUGGGAACGGAGACACGUACCUACCGCCUCGGUGAGGCAGCAUUGGGGAAUAUUGCACAAGGGGCGCAAGCCUGAUGCGCACAUGCCGCGUGUAUUAGGAAGGCCUUCGGUUUGUAAAGUACUUUCAGCGGGUAGACGUUACCCGCAUAAGAAGCACCGGCUAACUCCGUGCCAGCAGCCGCGGUAAUAC
rnacentral:rRNA from 1 species